UCAUCAUUGAAGCUUCAAGGAUCUUUAUCAACGAUAUUCAAGUCAAACAGCAAAAAAGUGUGGCUGGACCAGAUGAGAACAACAUGCAAUCUGUGGUCUGGACAAUUUUGAUUGAUGUGAUCCGUCACUGCAUCCGAUUGGUAGCUGACAUCCUUAAUGUGUCACUUCUGAGUACACUGGCUUGUAAGUUGCUGAUGACACCCUCUUUUUCCAACAACCUUUGCUUCUGCUGGGGAGACUUUGUGGAACAGCCUAGCAGAGGCUAACAGAUAACCUUGUUUGGAAACAGAAGAUAAGAAAUCAGCUGGUAACUCUCCAAGCGUUCUAUGCCCUACAUUAGGUAUGGUUACCUCACAGUGAUUCUCCACGGUUUUAUUAAGUCAAUCCAUCA